rnacentral:rRNA from 1 species
UACGUAGGGUGCGAGCGUUGUCCGGAUUCAUUGGGCGUAAAGGGUGCGUAGGUGGCGGGGCAAGUCUGGUGUGAAAUCCCGGGGCUCAACCCUGGAACUGCACUGGAUACUGCUUUGCUAGAGUACUGGAGAGGGAACUGGAAUUUACGGUGUAGCAGUGAAAUGCGUAGAUAUCGUAAGGAAGACCAGUGGCGAAGGCGAGUUCCUGGACAGUUACUGACACUGAGGCACGAAGGCCAGGGGAGCAAACGGG